rnacentral:rRNA from 1 species
UCGAACGUGAAGCGGGGCUUCGGCCCCGUGGAAAGUGGCGGACGGGUGAGUAACGCGUGGGAAUCUGCCCAGCAGUACAGAAUAACCAUGGGAAACUGUGGCUAAUACUGUAUACGCCCUACGGGGGAAAGAUUUAUCGCUGCUGGAUGAGCCCGCGUCGGAUUAGCUUGUUGGUGGGGUAACGGCUCACCAAGGCAACGAUCCGUAGCUGGUCUGAGAGGAUGAUCAGCCACACUGGGACUGAGAUAUGGUCCCGAGCCCUACGGGGUUUAGCAUGGGGGAAUCUUGCGCAAUGGGCGAAAGCCUGACGCAGCAACGCCGCGUGGGGGAUGAAGGCCUUCGGGUCGUAAACCCCUUUUCUGGGGGACGCAACUGACGGUACCCCAGGAAUAAGCCUCGGCUAACUACGUGCCAGCAGCCGCGGUAAUUCAAGCC